UUCUAAACAGAAAAAGCAAAAGAUGUCCGCAGAUUCCCUUUGGCCCUAUCAUCUUGACCGUCAGCAAAUUUGUUUAUCUUUCACGCCAUUGUUCUUGACUGUUUGGCGCCAUCUUGUGACUGAAUAAUACGUUGAUUAGUGUGGGCGGCACUCCACUCUAAAGAAAAAACACGACGCAAGUCAAGUUUACAAAUUUUAUUGUAUGUACCGAUAAAACUACAACGUAAAAAAACAAUCAUUAGUUCACACUACAAGACAUGGAUGUAACAUAAGGUGAGAGCAGUGUCUUUACCAUAUUUUCAUUAUUAAUUGAGCAUUUAACAUUUUCUUAUUUAUUAAUAAAAAACCUAUAUAAAUGUUUUAAACAAGUUGUUCGUUUCAAAUAAUUUACCUGAACAGUUUUCUUUUCCUAGUUAUAAACGGAGUGUAUAUUCUGUAGUGUUUACUAUUUUCUUGGAUUCACAAGACGUUAAUGCUGCUGCUUUAAAUGUUGACUGUAUACUGCUAGUCCACACUAAAACUAUUAUUGUUCCGUCAUAUUUGUAAAUACAGGGAUUAUAUCUUGUGUUGUACUAACACUACAUGUGUCAGAGGAUUUGUUCUUAUACCAGCUCAAGCAUUUACCAUGGUUCCAAUGAGAACUUAUGAACAAACUUGACCACAUAUACAAUGAAAUGACACUUUCACAUUCAUGUAGUGACCUAAAGCUGUAGAGGUUGUUCUUAGGGCUGUCUGACCCAGUUCCCAUCUGUGAUUAAACCAAACAUUAUACACAUAUGAUCUUCAAAAAACAACUGUAGUAGAAAAAAACACAAUAAAUAUAUCAUUUUAAACAAUAAAGCCCCUUGAAAAAAAAUAAACAAUAAAAAAACACCCAAAACAUUUCACAGUUUUACAGUCUUUACCUGCAACAUUAUGGGAAGACCUCAGGGUGGGUCAGACAUGGUACCUCUAAAAACUAAAAAGCCCUUUUUAAAUCCAUGAUAGUGCAACAGCUUGUGUUGUAAUGUCACCUCUUCAAGUCUAGUGAUCUCAGCAUCUACUUACAAAGAAACAUCUCGCCCAUCUCCAUUAACAUUGAAAGUCAGAAAAAAGAAUGACAACGGAAAUGCUUUUCUCUGCAUCUGACAGACAAUGGCAGAAAGGAAGAAAUUGUGGUUUGUGCGGUUUCUGAUCCCCCCUUGGGUUUGAACAGGCUGAAACAGCAACCACAACUGGACCGGUUUAGGGAAGCUUCUUACAUCUGAAACAAAAAACAUCGAAUCAGCAUACAGGUGUUCCCUUCUUUGUCUGUUAUUGUGAAGUUAAAGGGAUAGUUUAUUGCAGUAUAUAUUUUGACUUUCAGAGUGCUGGCAGUAGUUUGAUUGCAUUUUAUGAAUAAAAAAAAAACGUUUUAAUCAGCAUCUAUAAUCUUAUUUAAAGGGAUAGUUCCCCCAAAAUCUACUCACUCGUUUACUCCAAUUGUUGGAUGAACUAUGCCUUAAUAAGGUUCUUAACUAAGAUUAUAAGAUGUCCUAACCAUAUGAUGCGAGGUCUGGUGUAAAGAAUUUAAAGCACUGAGUAUUCGUGGCUUUUUGGCACAAAACUGAAUAACAAAAUUAUGUGCUGUGGCUAAUCUGGUCAAACAUUGUAUCUAUAAAAAAAUAGCUAGUGUUUCUUCCCAUACCAAUGAACUUCAGUUGAAAGUAUAAUGUGACUUUUUUUCAAACUUAUAUGGUUCCUUUUACAGCAUCCAUAUUGUAAUAUAAUUAAAUAUAUAUAAUCAGUUAUAUAGACUUCAGCUUAUAGACUUCAUUUAGAUGUUCAAGCGUAAAAUAAGAUGAAAGACUGUUAACACGCACAUGCCCGUCAGGAUCAGCAGACGAUUGCUGAAACUCCAAAAUACUGGGGUAAAAUUAAUUUCAAAUUUAACAUUUUUUAAAUUCAGUAUUGUAUUAAAUGCACUGCUUCUUGUGCAUUCUGAGACCCACUUUAUGUCGUAUAUCAAUCAGGCAGUGAAGAUCAUACAUUUUUAAAGAGCCUUAAAGAAACCAACCUUAAACGCAAUUUUGUAAUGGCAUACAGUUCAGCGGUAGCAUUUGACCCAGGUUACUGACAAAUUAAAAGUCCUUCUGCAUUCUUCUGCUUAUACCCUUUUCAAAGGCAAAUGAAGAUAAAAUCAAACUCGCAUUACCUUCAUUCUGAACCCCCAUUACUUGACUGUCAAGGCAAUAUACGUGUUGUCAACACCUGUAAUGUAAACAUAACAAUUGCCAGUAAAAGAAGAGACAAAUUAAUACAUUUUUUCAAAUAUUAUGUAGUUACUUACAGGUCCUGCUCUCUCGCUCCAGUUCAGUGGGUUUCCUCACUCUUUUACAGUAGACUUUGGCAGCUAUCAGAAUGGCACAUGUCGCCACCACAAACGUCAGACCAGAUACCAGCAAACUGAUGACCACCGGGCUCAUCACCGGGUCCACCUCUGAAAUUCACAUAGCACAGAGAAACAAGUUAAGCUGAGAUGCAGAAACGUAUUUAACAUUGCAAACAAAAGAUAUUUUCAAAAUUAACUUUUUUAUUUCCACCACUGUAUAUACUAAAAAGCCAAUGAGAUAAACAAACAAACAAAAAACUCCUGCCAAAAACUAAAAAAAAAAAAACACUAGUCCUAGCUAUUUUAAAAUAAAAAACACAAUGGACCCUUUUCACCUUUCCAGGUUUCUCAGAGGCGGAUGUCGUCAUAGUUGGGUAAACUCAGCGCAGUUAAUGGGAGAGUACAACAAAUUAUUUUUUACAAUCCUAUUUGCUGAUAAAAUAAAAGAAAAACUCCACGAUGGUGUUAUCAAGAUUUCCAGAAUAAGGAAAAAAUAGAGUUAGACUGAUAACAACAACUUGAAGAAAGAGCAACAUCAAAUUUAAUGUCCUGUCCCAUACACUAUGCAUUUAAAACACUUCAAGGGUUGCAAUGAUGAUAUAUACAUACAUAAAUGCAUAUAAAUGUUUAUAUAUUUUUAAAAGAAACUAAAUAUUAAAAAUCGUUGAGAUGCUGAUGACGUAAUUAAACACGUCAUAACAGUCUUUUUAUAUUUUUUGGUUUAAUUUGUCUUCCAUUCAUAUCAUGUAUGGGUAACAACUGGGGUAAAAAGGUCAUUUUUUGUUAAUAAAACACAUUUCAAAAAUAUAUGCAAAAGAAAAUACAGAAUGACAGGGCCACUAUGUUUACCUCGAAUAGAGAUGGGUAAAGGCUGACUCUCCCUGGAGAUAAAUGUGCGCUCUCCAGUCUGCACCUUGUAGAGACAGCAGUAGUAGCCCUCGUUAUUGGACUGGGCAUUGGAGAAGGUGAAGGUAACGGAGGGAGCAAGGGCUGGCAAAGAGUGCCGGAUGGUCCCGUUGGGCCUAAUAAGGCGCAGCUGAAAGGAGCCUCCAGGAUACUGAGGCUGGGUGGAACAGGUGACAUUAAAACUGUGGCCCCGCAUGACCCACCCUGGCCGCGCCUCAGGAGACGUGUUGUACCAGAUCUGGGGAGUGUGAAUAUCCACUGAGAACAGGAAGUAAAGACAGCUGUAGCUGCCCUGGUGGAACAUUUCCAGGUCCGACAGGGUCAGAUCUACCAUCAUCUGUUUGGGGUCUGCUCUUUGGGUCACUAGCGGAGUGUCCACACCACUUUUGUACAGAUGGAAGUCGAUGACGGACUGCCAGUACGGGGCGGUGCAUUUAAACUGAACGGCCUCACCGGACGAAUAGGCAUUGAAGCGUGAAUGAAUUGACAAGCACCUCUCCACCGGCCCGUCCGUAACGAAUGCCAUUUGGAAUGUCCAGCACGAAGCCGCAGUCCAGCUCUCUGCAAACCACUGCAGCGUCCCACACAUCCCAGCCACGCUCGCACACAGUGCCCCAGUGAUGCCCGUGACGCACCUCCAGUCUCCCGGAGCAUCGCUCACCCGCUUUGUCAUUUACAAGCCUGGUGUUCAGGAUGUCUGUGGAAACAAUGUUUUUUAUCAUUAACUAAAACUAAAACUGUAAGAGCUCUAAAAAAGCGUCACAGAAGACGAGACUGGAAUGUUCUGCGAGUCAUCUGUUAUUGUGCAAAUUAGGUUGCCAAAAGCCAGUGAUAAUUUAUAUGUGUAUAAUCUACAAACAACACAGGUGCAAAAUAAGUUAGGACCUGCUUUUUUAGCGGUAUUAAAUAAUGACAAACUGACUACUGCAAACCUUAGUAAAUCAAGUUGCAUGAUUCAAGAACAUUCUGUCCUCCCAUAAAUUAUGUCUCAAAUGAAAACUUGUACAAGUGCA
ensembl:antisense